CAUGCAGUCGAGCGAACAGAUAAGGAGCUUGCUCCUUUGACGUUAGCGGCGGACGGGUGAGUAACACGUGGAUAACCUACCUAUAAGACUGGGAUAACUUCGGGAAACCGGAGCUAAUACCGGAUAACAUAUUGAACCGCAUGGUUCAAUAGUGAAAGGCGGCUUUGCUGUCACUUAUAGAUGGAUCCGCGCCGUAUUAGCUAGUUGGUAAGGUAACGGCUUACCAAGGCAACGAUACGUAGCCGACCUGAGAGGGUGAUCGGCCACACUGGAACUGAGACACGGUCCAGACUCCUACGGGAGGCAGCAGUAGGGAAUCUUCCGCAAUGGGCGAAAGCCUGACGGAGCAACGCCGCGUGAGUGAUGAAGGUCUUCGGAUCGUAAAACUCUGUUAUCAGGGAAGAACAAAUGUGUAAGUAACUGUGCACAUCUUGACGGUACCUGAUCAGAAAGCCACGGCUAACUACGUGCCAGCAGCCGCGGUAAUACGUAGGUGGCAAGCGUUAUCCGGAAUUAUUGGGCGUAAAGCGCGCGUAGGCGGUUUUUUAAGUCUGAUGUGAAAGCCCACGGCUCAACCGUGGAGGGUCAUUGGAAACUGGAAAACUUGAGUGCAGAAGAGGAAAGUGGAAUUCCAUGUGUAGCGGUGAAAUGCGCAGAGAUAUGGAGGAACACCAGUGGCGAAGGCGACUUUCUGGUCUGUAACUGACGCUGAUGUGCGAAAGCGUGGGGAUCAAACAGGAUUAGAUACCCUGGUAGUCCACGCCGUAAACGAUGAGUGCUAAGUGUUAGGGGGUUUCCGCCCCUUAGUGCUGCAGCUAACGCAUUAAGCACUCCGCCUGGGGAGUACGACCGCAAGGUUGAAACUCAAAGNAAUUGACGGGGACCCGCACAAGCGGUGGANCAUGUGGUUUAAUUCGAAGCAACGCGAAGAANCUUACCAAAUCUUGANNNUCCUUUGACNNNUCUAGAGAUAGAGUCUUCCCCUUNNGGGANAAAGUGACNGNNGGNNCAU
rnacentral:rRNA from 1 species